rnacentral:lncRNA from 1 species
GGGUGGAGAUGCUCAAAUGUGUGCAAAAUGCUUUAUGAAUGUGGAAAAAUCAACCCUAAACAGCUGUGCUCUCAGAAAACCCCAAACGUUUUUGAAGAGGUGGUGCAAAAAUGGUGGAGGAAGGGUUUUUAUGAAGAGGGGUGAAAGGAAAACUGAAGAGAAUGCUCAGGAAAAUACUUGAGAGUGGAAAAAAUGAGUGAGGGUCAAAUAGAGAGGUUAGGGUGAGACCUAGGGUAAGUAAAGUGAGCAAUGGGCCAACUCACGCUAGGCCCAAAAUUUUAAAACCCAAAAAUCAAUCUGCAGUACUAGCGCUCAACGCCAGUUACCGAUGAGCGGCAUGUGCGAGAUCAAUUUUCCCUCUUCCUAGAUUGCCCUAAGCGUCAUUGAACAAUGCCUCUUAAAUUCAACUUUCAAAUUUUGAAUUUCAUGCAACUUCCACUCAUUCCACUAAAAAAUUUAACAAUCAAACCUCUAAAAUGCAUCUAGAACAGAAUCA